UCCCAGAGCACUGGACAUCCAUGUGGAACUUCCUCCCCUCACAGUAAAGCCCACCCACAAGAGUGCAGAGAUCCUGUCCAAGCCUGGGCAGACCCCACACUCAGCUCUACAAUGUAACAAGUGCAUUAAAAUCAACGCUUAUGGGCGUUGGGAGUGUGAGGCAGACGUCUGCGAGAUUGCGGAUGGCCAGUGCUACCUGAUCAAAGUCUUUAAAGGUGGAAACCUUGUCUAUGGAUACAGUGGUUGUAACCCCA